rnacentral:rRNA from 1 species
GUCCUAGCCCUAAACGAUGAACACUGGGUGUGGCCCCCCAAAGGGCCGUGCCGGAGCUAACGCGUUAAGUGUUCCGCCUGGGGAGUACGUUCGCAAGGCUGAAACUCAAAGGAAUUGACGGGGGCCCGCACAAGCGGUGGAGCAUGUGGUUCAAUUCGACGCAACGCGAAGAACCUUACCUGGACUCGAAAUGCAGUUGCCGCCUUCAGAGAUGGAGGCUUCCCGCAAGGGACGGCUGUAUAGGUGCUGCAUGGCUGUCGU